UACGUAGGGUGCAAGCGUUAAUCGGGAUUACUGGGCGUAAAGCGUGCGCAGGCGGUUGUGUAAGACAGAUGUGAAAUCCCCGGGCUCAACCUGGGAACUGCAUUUGUGACUGCACGGCUCGAGUGCGGCAGAGGGGGAUGGAAUUCCGCGUGUAGCAGUGAAAUGCGUAGAUAUGCGGAGGAACACCGAUGGCGAAGGCAAUCCCCUGGGCCUGCACUGACGCUCAUGCACGAAAGCGUGGGGAGCAAACAGG
rnacentral:rRNA from 1 species